UCCCCCUCCCCCUCCCUCUCUCCCUCGCCCAUCCGUAAUAAUUUCGUCAGUAUAAGCCUUCAGGUCCUUUAUUAAGGCCUGUCUUGAAGAUGGCAAAGGUCUUAAGGAAGAUGUCAGGUGCCGAGGAUCUGGGGAGAAGAUGGUGUUCUAGAAGGAAUCGGAGAGGGUUUGGAAGUGGAGUUAGAUGCUCUUUUUUUUUUUUUAAGUUCCUCUUUAUUUCGUUUAUUGGGAUUUUUGGUGCGUUUAUUGCGGAGUUUUUAAGGAGUUUUAUUUCUUCUGUUUAUGUGAUAUAUUAGUUAGUUGGGAUUUUUUUUUUUUUAAGUAUUGAAGGGGUGCAAUUUUGAGUCCGUUUUUGAAAUUUCGUUUCUAUACAUUGAUGUCUUUAUUAAAAUUCAUUGGCGUUUUAUUCAUGGAGCACUUGCGGUUCAAUUUUAAGAUCCGGUGAAAUAUGACGGAUUUAAUGUAUUUAAAAAUGACAGAUUAGGCUUUUAUUUAAAUGAAUGGAUGAUUCAUCGUUCAUUGAUAUGCAUUUAGGUUUUAUUUGAAGAUCGUCUGGGCGGUCUCUUUAGAUACACUGGAGAUAAAACAGGCUGAAUGAGACAUACAGGAAAGGUCAAAAGGUCAGGGACAAGGUCAUGGCCCAACGUCAGACAACAAGAAGUAAGUAAUUAUGAAAGAAGGGCGAGUAAAUAUCAGGAAUUUCCCAGCAAACACCAGCGCCUUGUGUCGUAGCUGUGUGUGAGCGAAAGCUUUUUUUUGUGUGUGUGCAUAUACUUUUUUUUUUUCUUUCUCGACCAUCGGGUGUCCUUCUACUUCCGAUCUCGCUCUGAACACUGAGGAAGUACCAGAUCUCUCCCGCCGAUUCAGAAAGUAUCGUUCAUCUCCCAACUUUCGCGCCGGCGGUAACCGUCGGACGGGCAAAGUUAUCGAGAAUCUCAAGGAAAAGUUGUGUACGUACGAGAGCGUUAAUUAAAUACCAAAGUGGCCUUACUCACUUAAUUCAAUUAAGCUGUCAGCCCCACUAAUGGCUACUGAGCUGAUAACAACGUCCCAGAGGAGAGGGCAUCGAGACGAAACAUUGAGCAACGCGAGGGAAAAGCGAGACGUUUGGGCUCGUGACGUCACAGGGUGUCUAUGACGUCACGAGGUGCACGAGAGGGCCAGGUCAGCCGUCAUUUGUGCAGCGAGCGUGGACGCGAGCACAUCGCCUGAUCCUGCCUAACUGCAGCUGUAAACAGAUGUGAAGGCAAACCCAGGCGGAUAGAAAACAAACAAACAAACAAAGGUGCUUGUUUUUAUUAGCAGCUGACGGAAAAGUGGCUGUUAUUGUUAACGAGUCCAAUUAGACAAUAAGAACCUUUACUAAUUCCAAAAAAAAAGGGAGGAGGCUGAAAAUUAAAGAUAAAAAAUAAUCAUAGAGUGACGGAGGGAGGGAUGCGCUGCCUGGAAUAGUGCCCCGAGGCCUCAGUGCCAUUCCCAAGCGGAGUGCCAUGUCGUACCCACAUCCGCGUGCCCCGCCCAUUCCCUAAUUCGUGCCCUGUGAUUGGCUGAAAAGGAACACCUAG